rnacentral:lncRNA from 1 species
UUUGUUAUUCCAGGGUUGUAGAUACUGCCCCUUCGUCAGCAACAGCGACACUUACUGUAUCUGUCACUGAUGCCAACGAUGAUCCAGUGUUUAGUCCUGCGACCUAACAGCAUGUGCGACUGACGGAGCUGUAGUAGGUACAACAGUGACAACAGUAACCGGAACUGAUCAGGACAGCACAAACACACUUACUUACUCUAUUACCGGCAGGAACACAAACACUGACUUCGCUAAUUCUGGAGCUGUAAUUACUGUGGCAAAGACACUUGCCAUGGCAACAACAUCAACCUACAAUCUGCAAGUCGAAGUUAGUGAUGGCAGCGUCGCUGCAACUUCAACCGUCACUAUAACAGUUGCUUCGACCUGUAACAGCGCAACAGCUCUCCUUGUUAGCUUCCUGACCAUCCUGACAGCUCUUGUUGUCACUCUGAAUGAAUUUUUUGUUUAAAUAGUUGAAAUCCAGCAAAAGCCAUUUCAAAAUCAAUAACCAAGAUACUACAGGUCCGUCGCGCAUUUAGAAAAACAUUUAUCUCAUCAUCUUGAAACAUAAUAAAAUUAUAGGACAGAGUAACGCGACUCGGAUUAUGUAACUAGUUCGACGUAAUUCAUAUCACAUGUACAAUUUACGGACUGCACUUCAAUAAAAUGUCAAACAUUGCUAAUGCCGACGAUCUAAUUUGAUUAAUCGAACAUGUUUAAAUCAUUAAGAGAAUUUCUGCAAUUUCCGUACCAGUUAACAAUUAAUUCAUGUAAAACAUUAUCAAAUGUAUAUGUAUCUUUUUUGUAUAUCAGUCCUGUAGGUGAGAUGGUCUUUAAAUCCAGGAAAUAUUACCCUCACUGCAGUACAUGUCGAAACGUGCCGUGACUACUACAAAAGUCCAACGCUCAAAAGGUGUGCGUAAAUAAAGAAUACAUGUUCUACGAAACAAUUGCUGUGUAAUAUGUAUAUAAAGUUGUGUCCGGAAAUGGUUUUGAAAGAAUAUGAAAUGUCAUAUGAACAUGGAAAUAUACACGUAAAUGAUUUAUAGAAAAUAAAAAACGCCUCAUAAGGGAAGUAUUGGUUUACAAAAAUUGUGAUAUUCAUUUAUAAUUUAUUAAGUCUCAUCUAAUACGUUGGUUUCGUUUAACUACUUGACGCGUGAGCGUUUUCGCAUAUGUGCAUAGCGCUUGUGCCGUAUUUAACAACAUUUUCUGUAAAAGUGUCCGACUUUUGUAAAAUUUAGUGUCUAUAUCGACUUAUUUUCUUUUCAGUCGUAGGUGUAUCUAAAAAUUUGUUGUUGGAGCGUUAUAACAAAAGCAGAUCAAACACCGUCUAGCUAUAUUUAUUUAAACGGUGCCACGACUAUAAUGGCUAUCCGAUAAUAUAUACCAAUAAUAGAGAAUCUGUAUAUUCUAAAAUUCAUGAACGCAGAUCACCUUUCAUGUAGCAGAGAACAACACAUGAUUAAUCAAAGUCCUAAUGUCCUGUUGAGAAGGUCUACUCCCUAAAGUACUGCGUGUUUCUUUGUUUUUCAUGUUUUUCAUUUAAGAAAUGAUUUCAGUAAUGAGAUACCAAUAUUUCUAUGUCUGAGUCAUUUCUCAGCUAUAGUGUGCUUCUUUAGUUUAUUUAUAUUGAGUGCCUUGUAUAUGUAAAUUUCUCUGUGUGUAUUAUUAUCGAACUCAAUUUAACGACAUGGAAAAUGACUGUGUACCUUAAACAUCAACCCUGCAACUCAAAUUUAAAAAGAAAAAAUGUAAUUGAGCAGUCAGACGUUUUUAUUUCAUCGGUUUUUUGUCAGUUGCAGCUUAAGUUGCUCAAAUAUUGAUAUCAAAUCCUUCAAUUAAUCAAAAUAUAUUGUCAAUGCUUUACUUUCUAUAAGUAACUGUGUGAAAAAAUAAAACAAUAUACAAUAG